rnacentral:rRNA from 1 species
UUAGAGUUUGAUCCUGGCUCAAGACGAACGCUGGCGGCGCGCCUAACACAUGCAAGUCGAACGAGAGAGAGGGAGCUUGCUUCCUCAAUCGAGUGGCGAACGGGUGAGUAACGCGUGAGGAACCUGCCUCAAAGAGGGGGACAACAGUUGGAAACGACUGCUAAUACCGCAUAAGCCCACGGGUCGGCAUCGACCAGAGGGAAAAGGAGCAAUCCGCUUUGAGAUGGCCUCGCGUCCGAUUAGCUAGUUGGUGAGGUAACGGCCCACCAAGGCGACGAUCGGUAGCCGGACUGAGAGGUUGAACGGCCACAUUGGGACUGAGACACGGCCCAGACUCCUACGGGAGGCAGCAGUGGGGAAUAUUGCACAGUGGGGGAAACCCUGAUGCAGCGACGCCGCGUGGAGGAAGAAGGUCUUCGGAUUGUAAACUCCUGUUGUUGAGGAAGAUAAUGACGGUACUCAACAAGGAAGUGACGGCUAACUACGUGCCAGCAGCCGCGGUAAAACGUAGGUCACAAGCGUUGUCCGGAAUUACUGGGUGUAAAGGGAGCGCAGGCGGGAAGACAAGUUGGAAGUGAAAUCUAUGGGCUCAACCCAUAAACUGCUUUCAAAACUGUUUUUCUUGAGUAGUGCAGAGGUAGGCGGAAUUCCCGGUGUAGCGGUGGAAUGCGUAGAUAUCGGGAGGAACACCAGUGGCGAAGGCGGCCUACUGGGCACCAACUGACGCUGAGGCUCGAAAGUGUGGGUAGCAAACAGGAUUAGAUACCCUGGUAGUCCACACCGUAAACGAUGAUUAUUAGGGUGUUGGAGGGAUUGACCCCUUCAGUGCCGCAGUUAACACAAUAAGUAAUCCACCUGGGGAGUACGACCGCAAGGUUGAAACUCAAAGGAAUUGACGGGGGCCCGCACAAGCAGUGGAGUAUGUGGUUUAAUUCGACGCAACGCGAAGAACCUUACCAAGUCUUGACAUCCCUUGACGAACAUAGAAAUAUGUUUUCUCUUCGGAGCAAGGAGACAGGUGGUGCAUGGUUGUCGUCAGCUCGUGUCGUGAGAUGUUGGGUUAAGUCCCGCAACGAGCGCAACCCUUACUGUCAGUUACUACGCAAGAGGACUCUGGCAGGACUGCCGUUGACAAAACGGAGGAAGGUGGGGAUGACGUCAAAUCAUCAUGCCCUUUAUGACUUGGGCUACACACGUACUACAAUGGCGUUAAACAAAGAGAAGCAAGACCGCGAGGUGGAGCAAAACUCAGAAACAACGUCCCAGUUCGGACUGCAGGCUGCAACUCGCCUGCACGAAGUCGGAAUUGCUAGUAAUCGUGGAUCAGCAUGCCACGGUGAAUACGUUCCCGGGCCUUGCAC